GAUGAAGAACGUAGCGAAAUGCAAUAAGUAAUGUGAAUUGCAGAAUUCAGUGAAUCAUCGAAUCUUUGAACGCACAUUGCGCCCAUUAGCAUUCUAGUGGGCAUGCCUGUUCGAGCGUCAUUUCAACCCUUAAGCCCUGUUGCUUAGCGUUGGGAGCCUACAGUACUGUAGCUCCCCAAAGUUAGUGGCGGAGUCGGUUUCACACUCUAGACGUAGUAAUUUUUUCUCGUCUGUAGUUGAGCCGGUCCCCUGCCGUAAAACACCCAAUUUAUCAAGGUUGACCUCGGAUCAGGUAGGAAUACCCGCUGAACUUAAGCAUAUCAAUAAGCGGAGGA
rnacentral:misc_RNA from 1 species